UACGUAGGGUGCGAGCGUUGUCCGGAAUUAUUGGGCGUAAAGGGCUCGUAGGCGGUUUGUCGCGUCGGGAGUGAAAACACUGGGCUUAACCGAGUGCUUGCUUUCGAUACGGGCAGACUUGAGGCAUUCAGGGGAGAACGGAAUUCCUGGUUAGCGGUGAAAUGCGUAGAUAUCUGGAGGAACACCGGUGGCGAAGGCGACAUCCUGGACCGGCAUUGACGCUGAGGCGCGAAAGCUAGGGGGAGCAAACGGGG
rnacentral:rRNA from 1 species